GAUAGUGUUUUAUCCUAGCUCUAUUUCUCUGCUAUAUAAGUAAAUGUACAUGUUAGUUCUUGCGAGUAGUAGUAGUCUUUAAAGAAGAAGAACCUCUUGAAGUCUCAGUGCAUUAAAUUAUGGUAUAAGAUCGUUCUCGACCUAGUUAUCUUAUUACAGCCCAGGCUAAAUUUGUGCCAGCAGCCGCGGUUAGACUGGGUGGUCAAGUAGAGAGAGAUUAGUUUGUGAUUUAAGAGAGAAAAAUUAGUGGGUUGGUCCUGAUUUUCAUUUCUGAAAAGGUGUAAUUUAGUUCUAAAUGGAGAUCAGUAUUACUGUGAAUUGAUCUUGAGGUCACUAAGGUCUUGAUUGAAAACAGGAUUAGAUACCCUGGUAUCCUUGAUUUAAAUUCUUCAAACUAAAGUAGUAACCAGUUAUUAUCUUGAAACUUAAAGGAUUUGGCGGUGUCUUAGUCUAGUUAGAGGAACCUGUUCUGUGAUCGAUGCGCCACGAAGUAUCUCACUUCAUCUUGUAAGGUUUAACAGCCUGUAUACCGCCAUUAUCAGGCAAUCUCAAUAGAGAUGUGUUUAAAUAAAUAAAAAAUUUAGAAAAUUAGGUCAAGGUGCAGCUUAUGAUGAAGGUUGAAAUGGGUUACAAUUUAACAUUGGAAAAACGGAUUAGGACUUGAAAUAGUUUUAUGAAGGUGGAUUUAAAAGUAAGGUUUGUUUAACAUGCAAAUCUGAUUAUCAGCUCUAAGGCGCGUACACAUCGCCCGUCGCUCUCAUUAAAUUAGGUGAGAUAAGUCGUAACAAAGUAGGUGUACCGGAAGGUGCACCUAGAAAGAAAU
rnacentral:ncRNA from 1 species